rnacentral:rRNA from 1 species
UACGUAGGGUCCGAGCGUUAUCCGGUAUUAUUGGGCGUAAAGAGUACGUAGGCGGUCUUUAAGACAAUGGUUAAAUCUCCGGGCUUAACCCGGAACCAGCCGUUGUGACUGUGAGACUAGUCGAUAGCAGGGGCAAGCAGAAUUCUCGGUGUAGGAGUGAAAUCCGUUGAGAUCGAGAAGAAUACCAAUGGCGAAGGCAGCUGCUAGGCUAUAUGAGACGCUGAGGUACGAAAGCGUGGGAGCGAACGGG